rnacentral:rRNA from 1 species
UACGGAGGGUGCAAGCGUUAUCCGGAUUUACUUGGUUUAAAGGGUGUGUAGGCGGACUAUUAAGUCAGCGGUGAAAUCUCCGGGCUCAACCCGGAAACUGCCAUUGAUACUAUUAGUCUUGAAUGUUGUGGAGGUGGGCGGAACGGGUCAUGUAGCGGUGAAAUGCAUAGAUAUGACCCGGAACACCGAUUGCGAAGGCAGCCCGCUACGCAACGAUUGACGCUGAGGCACGAAAGCGUGGGGAGCAAACGGG